UGUUGUACUGUACCCAUAUAUAAACAUAUAAAUUCAUGUAUAAAAUAUAAUAUAAAUAGUAUAAUUAUACAUACUAAUAUAUGUGUGCAAUAUAAAUCUCUGUUUUGGAGUCGUUUGAAAACUACUAGAAGAUCGGCUGCUGGAAAACAACGUGGAAAUACAAAGGAUAAGCAACUCUAGGCCAAAGAGAAAAGUCCACCCCUUAAAUUACAUGCUAUAAACCGGGACUACACUGUUACCUUACAUGUUUGGAAGAUACUACAAUAUGAUUUGAAGGACGUGAAAACCAGGAUUCACAAACCUUUAAAAGACCGCUGACCUGAAAACAUUUGAACAACGCAUCAAAUGCAGGGAAAUGUUCUAAAGAUAUUAAAGAGGAAUAUUAUCAUAUUGUGAAGAAAAGGCAACGCGAGGAAAGGAAUCAGCCAUUUGGGAAAGAGCAGAAAGUGGAACACUAUUAAUGGAUGUUAAAGAAUUAAACACCUGAAACUAUUCGAAUUUGUAAAUUUGCAAACAGUCAAAAUAAAAAGAAACAAUUUCUUGUCUUGAUGAGUUCGUCAAGAAAUAUCUAUAACCUAAUCAUAUGCGCAACCAUUUAUUGGUUAUAAACGGAUUCCAAAAAAGAAAGCUUUUUUGUAUAUAUACUUGUAUAUAAAUUUAUAUACACUAAUAUAUAUAUAUGUGUGUGUAUAUCUAUAUGUAAAUAUCUGGAAGACCAUAUAUUCUUGGAAUUAAUAUUAUCUAAGAAAAGUUGGGCAAUGUCAAACUAAAGAAGUUCCUAUCACUGAUGCUAACUAAAAUUGCAGAAACAAAAAUUAUUCCACGCCCUUGUUUAUCUCACUCCUUAACGGCAAUCUCACUCCUAAGUCUCUUAUAAAAGUGUUCAUUCCAGUAUAGGUAUUGUAGUAACCUAUGUCGUUUUAAGCAAAACUCUUCUGUCAAGUCAACUAUCACUGUAACACAAAUUUUCCCCGUUUUACUCUGCUCUAAAAUACUGCUCCAACGUUGCUAGCCAUGAGGCCAGGCAUCCACGCCACUGUGCUGCGAAGUAGGCACCAGCGACACAGACGACAUUAUCCACCAAGAGCGAAUGCCUUUUCAACAAAAAGAUUCCUUAUUCUAGUGUUCCUCGGUUUUUCAGUCUUAAUACCGGGUAUAGCUCUCAGUGUGAUUGGAUUCCAGCCGGAAGAAAAGCACUACUCAGAGGAUCAGAAAAGAAUAUACCGGGUAUUAGGGCCGUCAGCGGUGGUCUGCUCCAUUGGCCUCCUUUUUGCUGCCUCUUUCUACUGUUACUGUUACUUGUCUGUUGAUUCGAGGCUGAAAAGGAAGAAGCAGGAGACACCACCAGAAAAAGAAUAUUCCGUUAAUGCCAGUCUAAAAAACAGUACAUGUUCUGAAAAUAACACAGAUCCAGAUAUAAAUAUGGAAUAUUCUGGGCUGGACUAUAGUGAAGGUGAACAAUGUUUACAGUUUGCUGAUGGGGAGCAAUAACACUGACUUGAUAUCAUUUUAUUAUAAGAGACUUCAGAAGGAGGUUUCCAUCAAAAACAGAUGGCUGUACUGACCACAUCACCAUACAAGUGUGCAUUCUAUGUGGGCUGUGCCAACCAAGACAUGGCUCCCAAUUUAUAAAGUGGAGAGGUCCCUUGAGUAAUUAAAGAUAAAUCUUUUAUAUUCAAAAAAAAAAAUUCUUUUUUGAAAACAACAUUAAAAAAAGAAACAAAAUUUGUUGACAAAAGCAAACAAAAACAAGAAAAAUUAUCAAAAGAAGAUAUGUCUUCUUUUUAAAGUGGAUGAUUUUUCAAUCCUUUACCCAUGAGGCCUUUUAACGCUCCAAUAAUAUCAAUAUGAAAAACUUAUACAUCAAAUAUAACAAAACAUAAAGGAAUUUCCUAAAAUAACAAAUGGCAAAAAAAAGGAAAAAAAAGAAGAAAGCACUGCAAAGACUGACUAAAACUUAUUUAAAAAACAAUACAAAAUCAAAGCAACAACCACAAAAAAAAACUAAUAAAAACUGUCAGUAUCGCAGCAGUCAAG
rnacentral:misc_RNA from 1 species